rnacentral:rRNA from 1 species
AACGAACGCUGGCGGCGUGGAUAAGACAUGCAAGUCGAGCGCUGAUUACAGGGUAGCAAUAUUCUGUGGUCGGAGCGGCGCAAGGGUGCGUAACACGUGGGUAAUCUGCCAUGAAGUCUGGAAUAACUUGCUGAAAGGCGAGCUAAUACCGGAUGUGAACAUCGGGCGGCAUCGUUUGAUGUUCAAAGCUGGGGACCGUAAGGCCUGGCGCUUCAUGAUGAGCCCGCGGCCUAUCAGCUAGUUGGUGGGGUAAUGGCUCACCAAGGCUAAGACGGGUAGCUGGUCUGAGAGGACGACCAGCCACACUGGAACUGAGACACGGUCCAGACACCUACGGGAGGCAG